rnacentral:tRNA from 1 species
UCCCAGAUGCUCCUGUGGUUAGGGCUCUGUACUUUCACUGCUGUGGCCUGGGUUCAACCCCUGGUCAGGGAA